rnacentral:rRNA from 1 species
UUUGUUCCCUAAAUAGGGACUUGUAUGAAUGGCCACACGAGGGCUUUACUGUCUCUUACUUCCAAUCCGUGAAAUUGACCUUCCCGUGAAGAGGCGGGAAUAUAACAAUAAGACGAGAAGACCCUAUGGAGCUUUAAUUAACCGACCCAAAGAGUGCUCUAUUAAUUAACCGACAGGAACAACAAAUCUCUAUAUGGGCCGACAAUUUAGGUUGGGGUGACCUCGGAGAACAAAACAACCUCCGAGUGAUUUAAAUUUAGACUAACCAGUCAAAAGUAUUACAUCACUUAUUGAUCCAAAAGCUUGAUCAACGGAACAAGUUACCCUAGGGAUAACAGCGCAAUCCUAUUUCAGAGUCCAUAUCGACAAUAGGG